rnacentral:rRNA from 1 species
UACGUAGGCAGCAAGCGUUGUUCGGAGUUACUGGGCGUAAAGAGUGCGUAGGUGGUGCCCUAAGUCUGUUGUGAAAUCCCCGAGCUCAACUUGGGAAUUGCAAUGGAUACUGGCAGGCUGGAGUAUGGUAGAGGAAGGUGGAAUUCCCGGUGUAGCAGUGAAAUGCGUAGAGAUCGGGAGGAACACCAGUGGCGAAGGCGGCCUUCUGGACCAAUACUGACGCUCAUGCACGAAAGCGUGGGGAGCAAACAGG